GAACGAUGAAGCACCAGCUUGCUGGUGUGGAUUAGUGGCGAACGGGUGAGUAACACGUGAGCAACCUGCCCCGGACUUUGGGAUAAGCGCUGGAAACGGCGUCUAAUACCGAAUACGCACCAUGGAGGCAUCUUCAAUGGUGGGAAAGAUUUAUCGGUCCGGGAGGGGCUCGCGGCCUAUCAGCUUGUUGGUGAGGUAAUGGCUCACCAAGGCGUCGACGGGUAGCCGGCCUGAGAGGGUGACCGGCCACACUGGGACUGAGACACGGCCCAGACUCCUACGGGAGGCAGCAGUGGGGAAUAUUGCACAAUGGGCGCAAGCCUGAUGCAGCAACGCCGCGUGGGGGAUGACGGCCUUCGGGUUGUAAACCCCUUUUAGUAGGGAAGAAGCCUUCGGGUGACGGUACCUGCAGAAAAAGCGCCGGCUAACUACGUGCCAGCAGCCGCGGUAAUACGUAGGGCGCAAGCGUUAUCCGGAAUUAUUGGGCGUAAAGAGCUCGUAGGCGGCUUGUCACGUCUGCUGUGAAAACUGGAGGCUCAACUUCCAGCGUGCAGUGGGUACGGGCAGGCUAGAGUGCGGUAGGGGAGAUUGGAAUUCCUGGUGUAGCGGUGGAAUGCGCAGAUAUCAGGAGGAACACCGAUGGCGAAGGCAGAUCUCUGGGCCGUAACUGACGCUGAGGAGCGAAAGAGUGGGAGCGAACAGGCUUAGAUACCCUGGUAGUCCACUCCGUAAACGUUGGGAACUAGUUGUGGGGGCCUUUCCACGGUCUCCGUGACGCAGC
rnacentral:rRNA from 1 species